UAUAAAUUUCUAAUGUACUAUGUAAAGUAUCAUUGAAAAUGAAGCUGUGAUUCCAAUUGUCAAAGGAAGGUGGACAGUUAGAUUCAUGUGACAUUCUAAAAUAGAACAACGGUUAAAAAUUUAUUCUAUCAAUUUUUAAUAACAAAUUUAUGUGAAGAAAAAUAAAUUGAUAAUUAACAUCUUCGAUAUAACCUAAAAAAAGUACAAACAAAUUUCAAUUGAAUCAAAGAUACAAGAAAAGAAUACAAAAAGUUUCAUUGACAUAAUUAGCUUGUAUUGUUUAUAAAAAAUAAAACAAUAAAAAAUAUCUUAAUCGCUCAUUAGAAAAAAAGUAUUUCAAUAAAUUACAUGACUAUUUAACAUUUAUAACCCAGCGUGGUCCAGCAAAUCGUCGGUAAUGUAGAUUACUAGAAACAAAUUUUUUUUAUGUGUAUCGAUCCGAGCCUGAGGACGAAUCUGACAAUGAGAUUGAUGCGGUGAUUUAUAAAUAACGAUAAUGACUUGGAAUUAUUCUUUGCGGUAAUACUGAAGGGGUGUUAAUGAGUCGAGAACGUUAAGAAGUCCCUUGAUGCAAUCAACAAUGAUGAUGCAGCCGGUCAAGGCAUUGGUGGUAAAUUACGCUGAAGGAGAGUAGGUGAUUUAACAAAAAAAGGAACGUGAUAGAAUGACCAAAUGAAUAAUCUUCUCAUCUUUGUUCUUUUUGUAUACUUUCGUUGCAUUAGUGUCGACGGUGAAAAAAAAGAAAUUUGUGAACAAAUAAAUUUCACGAAAAAAA
rnacentral:lncRNA from 1 species